UGGAGUAUGUGGUUAAUUCGAUGAUACGCGAGGAACCUUACCUGGGCUCAAAUGUAUGUUGACGUAUUCUGAAAGGGAUACUUCUUCGGACAAUAUACAAGGUGCUGCAUGGUUGUCGUCAGCUCGUGCCGUGAGGUGUCGGGUUAAGUCCCAUAACGAGCGCAACCCUAUCAUUAGUUGCCAUCAGGUCAAGCUGGGGACUCUAAUGAAACUGCCUACGCAAGUAGUGAGGAAGGUGGGGAUGACGUCAAAUCAGCACGGCCCUUACGUCCAGGGCUACACACGUGCUACAAUGGCCGGUACAAAGGGCAGCUACCUGGUGACAGGAUGCUAAUCUCAAAAGCCGGUCUCAGUUCGGAUCGGAGUCUGCAACCCGACUCCGUGAAGCUGGAAUCGCUAGUAAUCGUGAAUCAGAAUGUCACGGUGAAUACGUUCCCGGGCCUU
rnacentral:rRNA from 1 species